GGGUGAGUAACGCGUAUGCAACCUGCCCGUUUCAGCGGGAUAACCCGGAGAAAUCCGGCCUAAUACCGCAUGUGGCCGAGGGGAGGCAUCUUCUUUCGGCCAAAGGAGGCGACUCCGGAGACGGAUGGGCAUGCGUGACAUUAGCUUGUUGGCGGGGUAACGGCCCACCAAGGCGACGAUGUCUAGGGGUUCUGAGAGGAAGGUCCCCCACACUGGUACUGAGACACGGACCAGACUCCUACGGGAGGCAGCAGUGAGGAAUAUUGGUCAAUGGGCGAGAGCCUGAACCAGCCAAGUCGCGUGAAGGAUGACGGCCCUACGGGUUGUAAACUUCUUUUGUCAGGGAGCAAUUGGGUCCACGUGUGGGCUUAGCGAGAGUACCUGAAGAAAAAGCAUCGGCUAACUCCGUGCCAGCAGCCGCGGUAAUACGGAGGAUGCGAGCGUUAUCCGGAUUUAUUGGGUUUAAAGGGUGCGUAGGCGGAAUAUCAAGUCAGCGGUAAAAAUUCGGGGCUCAACCCCGUCGUGCCGUUGAAACUGAUGUUCUUGAGUGGGCGAGAAGUAUGCGGAAUGCGUGGUGUAGCGGUGAAAUGCAUAGAUAUCACGCAGAACUCCGAUUGCGAAGGCAGCAUACCGGCGCCCAACUGACGCUGAAGCACGAAAGCGUGGGUAUCGAACAGGAUUAGAUACCCUGGUAGUCCACGCAGUAAACGAUGAAUGCUAAUUGUCCGGA
rnacentral:rRNA from 1 species